rnacentral:rRNA from 1 species
UACAGAGGUCUCAAGCGUUGUUCGGAUUCAUUGGGCGUAAAGGGUGCGUAGGCGGCGCGGUAAGUCGGGUGUGAAAUCUCGGGGCUUAACUCCGAAACUGCAUUCGAUACUGCCGUGCUUGAGGACUGGAGAGGAGACUGGAAUUUACGGUGUAGCGGUGAAAUGCGUAGAUAUCUGGAGGAACACCGGUGGCGAAGGCGGGAUCCUGGGCCAGUACUGACGCUGAGGAGCGAAAGCGUGGGGAGCAAACAGG